CAAUAGCGUAUAUUAAAGUUGUUGCGGUAAAAAAGCUCGUUGUCGGAUUUCUGUUGAGAGCGACCGGUCCAUACCAUGUAUGCGUAUCUGGCUUGCUCUCGGCAUCCUCUCGAUAGACGUUGCUGCGCUUGAUUGCGUGGCGCGGAUCUCGGGACUUUUACUUUGAGGAAAUUAGAGUGUUCACGGCAGGCUUUCGCCAGAAUACAUUAGCAUGGAAUAAUACUAUAGGAUCUUGGUUCUAUUUUGUUGGUUUCUAGAAUUGAGAUAAUGAUUAAUAGGGACAAUUGGGGGCAUUCGUAUCAACACGUCAGAGGUGGAAUUCUUGGAUUGUGUUGCGACGAACUACUGCGAAAGCAUUUGCCAAGGAUGUUUUCAUUGA
rnacentral:rRNA from 1 species